UACGAAGGGGGCUAGCGUUGUUCGGAAUUACUGGGCGUAAAGCGCAUGUAGGCGGCGAUUUAAGUCGGGGGUGAAAUCCCAGGGCUCAACCCUGGAACUGCCUUCGAUACUAUUUUGCUAGAGUAUGGAAGAGGUUGGUGGAACUGCAAGUGUAGAGGUGAAAUUCGUAGAUAUUUGCAAGAACACCGGUGGCGAAGGCGGCCAACUGGUCCAUCACUGACGCUGAGAUGCGAAAGCGUGGGGAGCAAACAGG
rnacentral:rRNA from 1 species